rnacentral:rRNA from 1 species
UACGUAGGGUGCGAGCGUUGUCCGGAUUUAUUGGGCGUAAAGCGUGCGUAGGCGGCUGCGCAAGUCGGUUGUGAAACCCCGGGGCUCAACCCCGGAACUGCAUCCGAUACUGCGUGGCUAGAGGUAGGUAGGGGAGAUCGGAAUUCCUGGUGUAGCGGUGAAAUGCGCAGAUAUCAGGAGGAACACCGGUGGCGAAGGCGGAUCUCUGGGCCUUACCUGACGCUCAGGCACGAAAGCUAGGGGAGCGAACAGG